rnacentral:tRNA from 2 species
GCGGGUGUAGCUCAGUGGUAGAGCGGCUGCUUGCCAUGCAGCAGGUCGCGGGUUCGAGUCCCGUCGCCCGCUCCA